UUGGCAGGGACAGAUACAGAUGAAGAGUCAGGUGGUCGUGAUUCAUUUGGCAGGGACAGAUACAGAUGAAGAGUCAGGUGGUCGUGAUUCAUUUGGCAGGGACAGAUACAGAUGAAGAGUCAGGUGGUCGUGAUUCAUUUGGCAGGGACAGAUACAGAUGAAGAGUCAGGUGGUCGUGAUUCAUUUGGCAGGGACAGAUACAGAUGAAGAGUCAGGUGGUCGUGAUUCAUUUGGCAGGGACAGAUACAGAUGAAGAGUCAGGUGGUCGUGAUUCAUUUGGCAGGGACAGAUACAGAUGAAGAGUCAGGUGGUCGUGAUUCAUUUGGCAGGGACAGAUACAGAUGAAGAGUCAGGUGGUCGUGAUUCAUUUGGCAGGGACAGAUACAGAUGAAGAGUCAGGUGGUCGUGAUUCAUUUGGCAGGGACAGAUACAGAUGAAGAGUCAGGUGGUCGUGAUUCAUUUGGUAGGGACAGAUACAGAUGAAGAGCCAGGUGGUCGUGAUUCAUUUGGCAGGGACAGAUACAGAUGAAGAGUCAGGUGGUCGUGAUUCAUUUGGCAGGGACAGAUACAGAUGAAGAGUCAGGUGGUCGUGAUUCAUUUGGCAGGGACAGAUACAGAUGAAGAGCCAGGUGGUCGUGAUUCAUUUGGCAGGGACAGAUACAGAUGAAGAGUCAGGUGGUCGUGAUUCAUUUGGUAGGGACAGAUACAGAUGAAGAGUCAGGUGGUCGUGAUUCAUUUGGCAGGGACAGAUACAGAUGAAGAGUCAGGUGGUCGUGAUUCAUUUGGUAGGGACAGAUACAGAUGAAGAGUCAGGUGGUCGUGAUUCAUUUGGUAGGGACAGAUACAGAUGAAGAGUCAGGUGGUCGUGAUUCAUUUGGCAGGGACAGAUACAGAUGAAGAGUCAGGUGGUCGUGAUUCAUUUGGCAGGGACAGAUACAGAUGAAGAGUCAGGUGGUCGUGAUUCAUUUGGCAGGGACAGAUACAGAUGAAGAGUCAGGUGGUCGUGAUUCAUUUGGCAGGGACAGAUACAGAUGAAGAGUCAGGUGGUCGUGAUUCAUUUGGCAGGGACAGAUACAGAUGAAGAGUCAGGUGGUCGUGAUUCAUUUGGCAGGGACAGAUACAGAUGAAGAGUCAGGUGGUCGUGAUUCAUUUGGCAGGGACAGAUACAGAUGAAGAGUCAGGUGGUCGUGAUUCAUUUGGCAGGGACAGAUACAGAUGAAGAGUCAGGUGGUCGUGAUUCAUUUGGCAGGGACAGAUACAGAUGAAGAGUCAGGUGGUCGUGAUUCAUUUGGCAGGGACAGAUACAGAUGAAGAGUCAGGUGGUCGUGAUUCAUUUGGCAGGGACAGAUACAGAUGAAGAAGAGUCAUUUUAUUUAGCGCACUCAUUUACAGCAUCAGCAGUUCUUUGUUUGGGCUUUAAAAAUAAGAAAAACAUGUUGUUGUGCUUCAGACAUUUAAAAAUAAGUAUUUGCAUAUUAUUACAUCCUUGCCUACCCAAGCCAAGCUGGUCCCAACAUCCCAUCCACACAACAACAAAAAUGGGGCAAAAAAAGUAUUUAGUCAGCCACCAAUUGUGCAAGUUCUCCCACUUUAAAAGAUGAGAGAGGCCUGUAAUUUUCAUCAUAGGUACACUUCAACUAUGACAGACAAAAUGAGAAAAAAAGAAUCCAGAAAAACACAUCGUAGGAUUUUUUUUGUCACGCCUUGGUCAUUGUAUUUUGUGUUUUUGUUAUAUGUUUGGGUAGGCCAGGGUGUGACAUGGGUUUAUAUGUUGUAUUCAUAUUGGGGUUUGUAUUAUUUGGGAUUGCGGCUGAUUAGGGGUGUGUCUAGUUAGGCUUGGCUGCCCGAGGCGAUUCUCAAUCAGAGUCAGGUGCUUGUCGUUGUCUCUGAUUGAGAACCGUAAUUAGACAGCCUGACUUUCGCUUUGUAUUUUGUGGGUGUUUGUUCCUGUCUCUGUGUUGUAGUCACCAGAUAGGCUGUAAUUAGUUUCACGUUUCGUUUGCUGUUUUCUUAUAUCAGUUAUUUCAUGUACCGCGAUACUUUCAUUAAAGUCAUGAGUAACCUACACGCUGCAUUUCGGUCUGACUCUCUUCUUACAACAGACGAACGUCGUUACAUUUUUAUGAAUUUAUUUGCAAAUUAUGGUGGAAAAUAAGUAUUUGGUCACCUACAAACAAGCAAGAUUUCUGGCUCUCACAGACCUGUAACUUCUUUAAGAGCCUCCUCAUCACUCUGUUAUUAUAACAUGUAGGUGGAGCUCCUCCUCACCACUCUGUUAUUAUAACAUGUAGGUGGAGCUCCUCCUCACCACUCUGUUAUUACUACAUGUAGGUGGAGCUCCUCCUCACCACUCUGUUAUUACUACAUGUAGGUGGAGCUCCUCCUCACCACUCUGUUAUUAUAACAUGUAGGUGGAGCUCCUCCUCACCACUCUGUUAUUACUACAUGUAGGUGGAGCUCCUCCUCACCACUCUGUUAUUAUAACAUGUAGGUGGAGCUCCUCCUCACCACUCUGUUAUUAUAACAUGUAGGUGGAGCUCCUCCUCACCACUCUGUUAUUACUACAUGUAGGUGGAGCUCCUCCUCACCACUCUGUUAUUAUAACAUGUAGGUGGAGCUCCUCCUCACCACUCUGUUAUUAUAACAUGUAGGUGGAGCUCCUCCUCACCACUCUGUUAUUACUACAUGUAGGUGGAGCUCCUCCUCACCACUCUGUUAUUACUACAUGUAGGUGGAGCUCCUCCUCACCACUCUGUUAUUAUAACAUGUAGGUGGAGCUCCUCCUCACCACUCUGUUAUUACUACAUGUAGGUGGAGCUCCUCCUCACCACUCUGUUAUUACUACAUGUAGGUGGAGCUCCUCCUCAUCACUCUGUUAUUAUAACAUGUAGGUGGAGCUCCUCCUCACCACUCUGUUAUUACUACAUGUAGGUGGAGCUCCUCCUCACCACUCUGUUAUUACUACAUGUAGGUGGAGCUCCUCCUCACCACUCUGUUAUUAUAACAUGUAGGUGGAGCUCCUCCUCACCACUCUGUUAUUAUAACAUGUAGGUGGAGCUCCUCCUCACCACUCUGUUAUUAUAACAUGUAGGUGGAGCUCCUCCUCACCACUCUGUUAUUACUACAUGUAGGUGGAGCUCCUCCUCACCACUCUGUUAUUAUAACAUGUAGGUGGAGCUCCUCCUCACCACUCUGUUAUUAUAACAUGUAGGUGGAGCUCCUCCUCACCACUCUGUUAUUAUAACAUGUAGGUGGAGCUCCUCCUCACCACUCUGUUAUUACUACAUGUAGGUGGAGCUCCUCCUCACCACUCUGUUAUUAUAACAUGUAGGUGGAGCUCCUCCUCACCACUCUGUUAUUAUAACAUGUAGGUGGAGCUCCUCCUCACCACUCUGUUAUUAUAACAUGUAGGUGGAGCUCCUCCUCACCACUCUGUUAUUACUACAUGUAGGUGGAGCUCCUCCUCACCACUCUGUUAUUACUACAUGUAGGUGGAGCUCCUCCUCACCACUCUGUUAUUACUACAUGUAGGUGGAGCUCCUCCUCACCACUCUGUUAUUAUAACAUGUAGGUGGAGCUCCUCCUCACCACUCUGUUAUUAUAACAUGUAGGUGGAGCUCCUCCUCACCACUCUGUUAUUAUAACAUGUAGGUGGAGCUCCUCCUCACCACUCUGUUAUUACUACAUGUAGGUGGAGCUCCUCCUCACCACUCUGUUAUUAUAACAUGUAGGUGGAGCUCCUCCUCACCACUCUGUUAUUAUAACAUGUAGGUGGAGCUCCUCCUCACCACUCUGUUAUUAUAACAUGUAGGUGGAGCUCCUCCUCACCACUCUGUUAUUAUAACAUGUAGGUGGAGCUCCUCCUCACCACUCUGUUAUUAUAACAUGUAGGUGGAGCUCCUCCUCACCACUCUGUUAUUACUACAUGUAGGUGGAGCUCCUCCUCACCACUCUGUUAUUAUAACAUGUAGGUGGAGCUCCUCCUCACCACUCUGUUAUUACUACAUGUAGGUGGAGCUCCUCCUCACCACUCUGUUAUUAUAACAUGUAGGUGGAGCUCCUCCUCACCACUCUGUUAUUACUACAUGUAGGUGGAGCUCCUCCUCACCACUCUGUUAUUAUAACAUGUAGGUGGAGCUCCUCCUCACCACUCUGUUAUUACUACAUGUAGGUGGAGCUCCUCCUCACCACUCUGUUAUUAUAACAUGUAGGUGGAGCUCCUCCUCACCACUCUGUUAUUACUACAUGUAGGUGGAGCUCCUCCUCACCACUCUGUUAUUACUACAUGUAGGUGGAGCUCCUCCUCACCACUCUGUUAUUAUAACAUGUAGGUGGAGCUCCUCCUCACCACUCUGUUAUUAUAACAUGUAGGUGGAGCUCCUCCUCACCACUCUGUUAUUAUAACAUGUAGGUGGAGCUCCUCCUCACCACUCUGUUAUUACUACAUGUAGGUGGAGCUCCUCCUCACCACUCUGUUAUUACUACAUGUAGGUGGAGCUCCUCCUCACCACUCUGUUAUUAUAACAUGUAGGUGGAGCUCCUCCUCACCACUCUGUUAUUACUACAUGUAGGUGGAGCUCCUCCUCACCACUCUGUUAUUACUACAUGUAGGUGGAGCUCCUCCUCACCACUCUGUUAUUAUAACAUGUAGGUGGAGCUCCUCCUCACCACUCUGUUAUUACUACAUGUAGGUGGAGCUCCUCCUCACCACUCUGUUAUUACUACAUGUAGGUGGAGCUCCUCCUCACCACUCUGUUAUUAUAACAUGUAGGUGGAGCUCCUCCUCACCACUCUGUUAUUAUAACAUGUAGGUGGAGCUCCUCCUCACCACUCUGUUAUUAUAACAUGUAGGUGGAGCUCCUCCUCACCACUCUGUUAUUAUAACAUGUAGGUGGAGCUCCUCCUCACCACUCUGUUAUUACUACAUGUAGGUGGAGCUCCUCCUCACCACUCUGUUAUUACUACAUGUAGGUGGAGCUCCUCCUCACCACUCUGUUAUUACUACAUGUAGGUGGAGCUCCUCCUCACCACUCUGUUAUUAUAACAUGUAGGUGGAGCUCCUCCUCACCACUCUGUUAUUACUACAUGUAGACCCUACUUUAC